UUCACUCAUUGUGAACUAUUAAAAUGUUCACCCUUAAAGAUGCUCUCAUUUCUCCUUCUCUCUCUUAGUUUAACUUUCUCUCUCCUUCUGACAUUUUCUCUCUCUUGUUCUUCCUCUAUUACGACUGAAUUUUCAUGUGAUUUUCUCUUAUUUUUCCUCCUUCAUCCAUUAUUCAUUCAAAGGGUUUCUUCUUCCUAAUCUCUCCACAGUACUCCAAGUUUUACCCUACUUUGUGGCAAAUUUUUUUCCAGCGAUUUACAACUGAGGUACCUCUAAAGACAAAUUUUUGAGGUGAAUUGCUCAAUUGACGAAUUGGGAUUGAAACAAUUGAUCGAUUGGCAUUGAGACGAGCACUUGGUUGGUCUGAUGGUUGAUAGAGUGAGGGGCCUGCUGAUUUUUUGGGUUGAAGAUGAAGGCUAAACCUAGUUGUGCAGUAAUGACAGUAGUGCAACCCUUUUUUUGUAAAGCUGUUAACAGAUUAGGUAGUUUGUAAUUAAGCUAACCGUAACUGUUAAGGUAGGAAGGUGUAAUUUUUUGGGGAACAAACUCUGUUUUUGCUGGUGUGUGUAACCUAGCUUCAAACAUUUAUGGCUGUAUUUAAUGUCUGACAAUGGAGGAUGCUAAAAUUCCCUCCUUAAAUGCUGAAUUCUGAAAUUUAAUGGUGGGUUGGCUGCUUAUAUAGCCCCCUAAUUUUUUUGAAAA